rnacentral:lncRNA from 1 species
UCUUCUUAGUGAUCAUGAAUCCUACAAUGGGUCAAACACCCCUAGCUCUCAGUCUAAUUUUUGGGCUAGGUUUGCCCUGUUUGUAAGCUACCAAAAAAUUCAACGGUAUUGUUGAUGGCAGACUAUUAGUUGGUGACAUGAGAGUUAGGAUAUAAAUCAGUUCCCAUCUUGCAGGAACUGCAUUUGAGCUGCCUGAUGGCACGAACGGUGUACACCUUUGAUCACUGUUCUCCCUUAUUUUCACCGUCCCACAUUCUGCCAAAGGAACAGUCAUUCUACAGUAGUCUCGAGGUUCAACUCGACAACAAAGCUAGGCAUGGAAGAAUAUUCAUGACCGUUUGUUGGUGUGCCAAUCCGACCAGUGCGCCUUAUGAAACUUCACCUCUCAUCAAAACCACAAAUAACAAAACAAAAGACAUAGAAUUAUUGCAAACUCUGGUUUUUUUCCUUGGUCCAGGCCAGGCUGAGCUGAUCUGAGCAGCCGAUCCAGCUGCGUGAGGAUGUAUUGACGAUGAAAUGCAAUGAGUCGGCAAUCUAAACAUAGUGGAGUAUUCAGAUUUAUGGUGAUA